rnacentral:rRNA from 1 species
CUGCUGCCUUCCGUAGGAGUUUGGGCCGUGUCUCAGUCCCAAUGUGGCCGUUCACCCUCUCAGGCCGGCUACUGAUCGUUGCCUUGGUAGGCCAUUACCCCACCAACUAGCUAAUCAGACGCGGAACCAUCGUAUACCACCGAGUU